rnacentral:rRNA from 1 species
AGGACGAACGCUGGCGGCGUGCUUAACACAUGCAAGUCGAGCGGAAAGGCCCUUCGGGGUACUCGAGCGGCGAACGGGUGAGUAACACGUGAGUAAUCUGCCCCUAGCUCUGGGAUAGCUCCGGGAAAACCGGGAUUAAUACCGGAUACGACCACUUUAGACAUCUGUUGUGGUGGAAAGAAUUUUGGCUAGGGAUGAGCUCGCGGCCUAUCAGCUUGUUGGUGGGGUAACGGCCUACCAAGGCGACGACGGGUAGCCGGCCUGAGAGGGCGACCGGCCACGACUGGGACUGAGACACGGCCCAGACUCCUACGGGAGGCAGCAGUGGGGAAUAUUGCGCAAUGGGCGAAAGCCUGACGCAGCGACGCCGCGUGGGGGAUGAAGGCCUUCGGGUUGUAAACCCCGUUUCAGCAGGGACGAAGCGAAAGUGACGGUACCUGCAGAAGAAGCGCCGGCUAACUACGUGCCAGCAGCCGC